rnacentral:rRNA from 1 species
GACCUGAUGCAGCAACGCCGCGUGCGGGAUGAAGGCCCUAGGGUUGUAAACCGCUUUCAGUAGGGAAGAAAAUGACGGUACCUACAGAAGAAGGUGCGGCCAACUACGUGCCAGCAGCCGCGGUGACACGUAGGCACCAAGCGUUAUCCGGAUUUAUUGGGCGUAAAGAGCUCGUAGGCGGUUUGGUAAGUCGGGUGUGAGAACUCUGGGCUCAACCCAGAGAGGCCACCCGAUACUGCUAUGACUAGAGUACGGUAGGGGAGCGGGGAAUUCAUGGUGUAGCGGUGAAAUGCGCAGAUAUCAUGAGGAACACCAGCGGCGAAGGCGCCGCUCUGGGCCGUAACUGACGCUGAGGAGCGAAAGCAUGGGUAGCAAACAGGAUUAGAUACCCUGGUAGUCCAUGCCGUAAACGUUGGGCACUAGGUGUGGGUCUCAACCAACGAGAUCCGCGCCGUCGCUAACGCAUUAAGUGCCCCGCCUGGGGAGUACGGUCGCAAGACUA